GAACCGUACGAACGUUAUUCGGGAAUCACUGGGCUUAAAGGGUGCGCAGGCGGUUCGAUUAGUUGGGGUGUGAAAUCCCUCGGGCUCAACCGAGGAACUGCGCCCAAUACUGUCGGACUUGAGGGAGAUAGAGGUGAGCGGAACUAAUGGUGGAGCGGUGAAAUGCGUUGAUAUCAUUAGGAACACCAGUGGCGAAGGCGGCUCACUGGAUCUCUUCUGACGCUCAGGCACGAAAGCUAGGGUAGCGAACGGGAUUAGAUACCCCGGUAGUCCUAGCUGUAAACGAUGAGCACUAGGUCGGAGGCCCUUCCACAGGUUUCCGAUCGUAGCGAAAGUGUUAAGUGCUCCGCCUGGGGAGUAUGGUCGCAAGGCUG
rnacentral:rRNA from 1 species